rnacentral:rRNA from 1 species
ACCCCCUUGUAACAGAAUUAAGAGCUACUCAAAGGAGGUACAGCUCCUUUGACAGAGAGUACAACCUCCCCUAGCGGAUAACCACAUCUUUUUUUCCUGUGGGCCUUAAAGCAGCCACCAACAAAGAGUGCGUCAAAGCUCAUAACCCUAAAAAUCCAAAAAUACAUGCGACUCCCUUACCCACAGCGGACCAACCUAUAACAAUAGAAGAAUUAAUGCUAAAAUGAGUAACCUGAGACCAUCCCUCCAAAAGCGUAAACUUACAUUAAUACAUUAUUAACAGACCACCUAUACCUCCACCUUGACAAGAACCCGUAUACCCCUUCCCUGUUAAGCCAACUCAGGAACGCCUAACGGAUGAUUAAAACCUGUAAAAGGAACUCGGCAAACCCUAAGGCCCGACUGUUUACCAAAAACAUAGCCUUCAGCCAGCAACAAGUAUUGAAGGUGAUGCCUGCCCAGUGACAUUAAAGUUCAACGGCCGCGGUAUCCUAACCGUGCAAAGGUAGCGCAAUCAAUUGUCCCAUAAAUCGAGACUUGUAUGAAUGGCUAAACGAGGUCUUAACUGUCUCCUGCAGGUAAUCGGUGAAAUUGAUAUUCUCGUGCAAAAGCGGGAAUGUGAACAUAAGACGAGAAGACCCUGUGGAACUUAAAAAUCAACGACCACCUAAUCAAACAUUUUCCCCCAUACGGGCUCACCCAUUACCAUUAGCGCCUGGCCAGUAUUUUUCGGUUGGGGCGACCUUGGAGGAAAAAAAAUCCUCCAAACAACCCAGGCCACAACCCUUCACCAAGAGCUACCACUCAAAGUACUAAAAGUUACUAGACCCAAUACAAUUGACCAAUGGACCAAGCUACCCCAGGGAUAACAGCGCAAUCCCCUCCAAGAGCCCAUAUCGACAAGGGGGUUUACGACCUCGAUGUUGGAUCAGGACAACCUAAUGGGGCAACCCCUAUUAAGGGUUCCUUUGUUCAACGAUUAAAAGUUCUACGUGAUUCGAGUUCAGACCGGGGCAUU